rnacentral:tRNA from 1 species
GGAGGCUUGCUAGCAGCGAGGACUGCUAAUCCUCGCAUCCUCGGUUGAACUCCGGAGUUCCCU